GGAGGUUUAGCUCAGUUGGGAGAGCAUCUGCCUUACAAGCAGAGGGUCAGCGGUUCGAGUCCGUUAACCUCCACGA
rnacentral:tRNA from 1 species